CUUAAAGCUAUGGGAAGCAGGUAGGCAGUGGUUAGGGCCCACAAUCACAUUUGUGAUUGGAACCACUCCUUGAGUUAUCCCACUGCUCUGAGAACAAACUGCAGGUUUAAAAAAAAUCUGGAAA